UGCAGUCGAACGGGAAGCCUGGCUUCGGUCAGGUGGAGAGUGGCGCACGGGUGAGUAACGCGUGGGAACCUACCCUGGGGUACGGAAUAACGUCGGGAAACUGGCGCUAAUACCGUAUACGCCUUUCGAGGGAAAGAUUUAUCGCCCUGGGAUGGGCCCGCGUCCGAUUAGCUUGUUGGUGAGGUAAUGGCUCACCAAGGCUGCGAUCGGUAGCUGGUCUGAGAGGAUGAUCAGCCACACUGGGACUGGGACACGGCCCAGACUCCUACGGGAGGCAACAGUGGGGAAUAUUGGACAAUGGGCGAAAGCCUGAUCCAGCAACGCCGCGUGGGUGAAGAAGGCCUUAGGGUUGUAAAUCCCUUUCGGCGGGGACGAUGAUGACGGUACCCGCAGAAGAAGCCCCGGCUAACCUCGUGCCAGCAGCCGCGGUAAUACGAAGGGGGCAAGCGUUGUUCGGAAUUACUGGGCGUAAAGGGCGUGUAGGCGGACCUGUCAGUCAGGGGUGAAAUCCCGGGGCUCAACCUCGGAAUUGCCUUUGAUACUGCAGGUCUUGAGACCGGGAGAGGGUCGUGGAAUUCCCAGUGUAGAGGUGAAAUUCGUAGAUAUUGGGAAGAACACCAGUGGCGAAGGCGGCGGCCUGGACCGGUUCUGACGCUGAGGCGCGAAAGCGUGGGAAGCAAACAGGAUUAGAUACCCUGGUAGUCCACGCCGUANACGAUGUCGGCUAGACGUCGGGCAGCUUGCUGUUCGGUGUCGCAGCAAACGCAUUAAGCCGACCGCCUGGGGAGUACGGCCGCAAGGUUAAAACUCAAAGGAAUUGACGGGGGCCCGCACAAGCGG
rnacentral:rRNA from 1 species